GCUGGGUGUGGUGGUUCACGCCUGUAAUCCUAGCACUUUGGGAGGCCGAGGUGGGUGGAUCACUUGAGGUCAGGAGUUCAAGACCAGCCUGGCCAAUAUAGUGAAAACUCAUCUCUA
rnacentral:SRP_RNA from 1 species